UACGUAGGGUGCAAGCGUUGUCCGGAUUUAUUGGGCGUAAAGAGCUCGUAGGCGGCAUCGUUAGUCGGAAGUUAAAAUGCAAGGCUUAACCUUGCAGUGCUUCCGAUACUGCGGAGCUUGAGUAUGGCAGGGGAGAUCGGAAUUCCACGUGUAGCGGUGAAAUGCGCAGAUAUGUGGAAGAACACCAAUGGCGAAGGCAGAUCUCUGGGCCAUUACUGACGCUGAGGAGCGAAAGCGUGGGGAGCGAACAGG
rnacentral:rRNA from 1 species